AUGUGGCUGGGGGGUGAUGGUUCUCAGUGCAGCGACCAGCAAGAGCAGGGACUUGAGAGUGUGCUUUCAAGAGUACAUGCCAGGGCCCAAGAGCUGUAUCAGUCUAUCCAGCUGGUGGGAUGCUGCAUAAUUAGCCAUUCAUUCCUGCAGUUUCUUUUGUGCCUGGACUACAUGAAGAGUUUCCUUUCAAGUGCUGACCUGACUCCAGCAAGGAGAGUGAGCUGUCAAUACGUAAAAAUAAAGGGAGAACGAGACCUGCCCUGA
rnacentral:lncRNA from 1 species